ensembl:lncRNA
CCGGGCGUGGGGCGAUCCCCGCGGGACCCACGCGCGACGGCGUGGGAGCUCCGCGGCCCGCCGGGUGCCCGAGAAGGGAGCGCCCCUUCCCCGCGGGCAACCCCGCACCCUUUCAUUGCCGGGAGACGUUCAAAUGAGGCUGAUUUCGCUCAGACACCGUAAGCACGCCCUGGUCACGCUGCAGGUGGGGAAGUGCCGCUGCCCGGCCGUGGCGGCCCCGCAGCGGGUCCCGGUCCGACCUCGCGCUGCUUCGGGACCCCGGAGAUCGGCCGGGCGGUGGGAGCAUGGCGAGGCUCGGGCUCGGAGCUGAACGCAAUAGCCAUCAUCGCCAUUAAUAAAAAAGAUUCCGUUCUCUGAGUGACCGAACACGCAUAGGCACACCUAUGUGCCCGGAUCCCGCUUUAUCCCAGCGGAGAAGAAUUAAUACUAGGUGCGCUACUAUCGCAACCAAGCGUUUUAGCUAUAGUAUCGCUGUCAUAUUAGACGAAAUUAAAUUGCUUCUUAAAGGAGAGUUGGAGCUGCAGCGACAGGAUGCCUUUAUUUCUGGUUUAGCCAUCCAAGUCUUCUGCAUCAACUCCACCAUUCAAACCAACAACUGAAGCCACGCCAAAGGCUGAAGUGUCUUCUUGCGCCGUCCCUUUACGAGUUACUUUUCUCGACGCGACUCAGUUUCAAAGAGAAAAAUAAGAGAAUAAUUUUUCCUCGUCUUUCAGCCUCGAAAAUUUUAAAUUAAUUCCUACCAAUAAAUACACACCCGCGGCUGUGCGCCGAUGUAGGUGCCACUGUUGUCCCUCCGGACCCCGACACCACACCGAAACGUUCAUGUGCCUUUAUUCCCACCCCCGAUUUGGGUGAUGGAAGAGCUUUUAUCCUACCGAGACCCGUGGGGGGGUGUCGGGUCGGAGGGACCCGGACAGCGCUGCGGGGGCCUCGCGGUGCCCGGGAGGACAGUGGAGUCGGGGGGCAGCGCCGGCCCCACAGAACAACCGGGAUCACUGCCGGCCCCCUCGCUGUGUACGGUUCUCAGCGCCCACGCUCUGCGUGGGUGUGCAGCGAUCCCCAC